rnacentral:rRNA from 1 species
CCUACGGGUGGCAGCAGUGAGGAAUAUUGGUCAAUGGACGCAAGUCUGAACCAGCCAUGCCGCGUGCAGGAAGACGGCUCUAUGAGUUGUAAACUGCUUUUGUACGAGGGUAAACGCAGAUACGCGUAUCUGUCUGAAAGUAUCGUACGAAUAAGGAUCGGCUAACUCCGUGCCAGCAGCCGCGGUAAUACGGAGGAUUCAAGCGUUAUCCGGAUUUAUUGGGUUUAAAGGGUGCGUAGGCGGUCGGAUAAGUUAGAGGUGAAAUCCCGAGGCUCAACUUCGGAAUUGCCUCUGAUACUGUUAGGCUAGAGAGUAGUUGCGGUAGGCGGAAUGUAUGGUGUAGCGGUGAAAUGCUUAGAGAGCAUACAGAACACCGAUUGCGAAGGCAGCUUACCAAGCUACGUAUGACGUUGAGGCACGAAAGCGUGGGGAGCAAACAGGAUUAGAUACCCUAGUAGUC